GGAAAAAAUGUUAUUGCAAAAUGUUUAUUAAUGACUUCUAAAUUUUAAUUUAAGUAUUUUAGUUAUAAAAAUUUUAAAAUACUAAAAUGCUUUUCCAAAUUUUUUAAUCAAAUUUAAUGAGUUUUUCUUUUGGGUAUAAAUUUAGUUUUUAUUAUUUACGUAUUGUUUGUAUAAAAUUUCGAAAGUAGAGUUCUUACAACACAGAAAGUGGUUUGUCUGACAAGGCCUUCGACGCUGAUGUUUUGCAAGAAAGGCGUCGCUGAUGUUUUGUGAAAGGCGUCAAGCAGGGGCACAGGUAAGCCUUCGUGUCUUGCGGUGGUUGUCAAUGUAUAGCCAAUUUUGGGGCCUUAUUGGACAACAAAGAGAGUCCCCGAGGUACUGAA
rnacentral:misc_RNA from 1 species